rnacentral:rRNA from 2 species
UGAAGAGUUUGAUCAUGGCUCAGAUUGAACGCUGGCGGCAGGCCUAACACAUGCAAGUCGAACGGUAACAGGAAGCAGCUUGCUGCUUUGCUGACGAGUGGCGGACGGGUGAGUAAUGUCUGGGAAACUGCCUGAUGGAGGGGGAUAACUACUGGAAACGGUGGCUAAUACCGCAUAACGUCGCAAGACCAAAGAGGGGGACCUUCGGGCCUCUUGCCAUCAGAUGUGCCCAGAUGGGAUUAGCUUGUUGGUGAGGUAACGGCUCACCAAGGCGACGAUCCCUAGCUGGUCUGAGAGGAUGACCAGCCACACUGGAACUGAGACACGGUCCAGACUCCUACGGGAGGCAGCAGUGGGGAAUAUUGCACAAUGGGCGCAAGCCUGAUGCAGCCAUGCCGCGUGUAUGAAGAAGGCCUUCGGGUUGUAAAGUACUUUCAGCGGGGAGGAAGGUGUUGUGGUUAAUAACCGCAGCAAUUGACGUUACCCGCAGAAGAAGCACCGGCUAACUCCGUGCCAGCAGCCGCGGUAAUACGGAGGGUGCAAGCGUUAAUCGGAAUUACUGGGCGUAAAGCGCACGCAGGCGGUCUGUCAAGUCGGAUGUGAAAUCCCCGGGCUCAACCUGGGAACUGCAUUCGAAACUGGCAGGCUUGAGUCUUGUAGAGGGGGGUAGAAUUCCAGGUGUAGCGGUGAAAUGCGUAGAGAUCUGGAGGAAUACCGGUGGCGAAGGCGGCCCCCUGGACAAAGACUGACGCUCAGGUGCGAAAGCGUGGGGAGCAAACAGGAUUAGAUACCCUGGUAGUCCACGCCGUAAACGAUGUCUACUUGGAGGUUGUGCCCUUGAGGCGUGGCUUCCGGAGCUAACGCGUUAAGUAGACCGCCUGGGGAGUACGGCCGCAAGGUUAAAACUCAAAUGAAUUGACGGGGGCCCGCACAAGCGGUGGAGCAUGUGGUUUAAUUCGAUGCAACGCGAAGAACCUUACCUGGUCUUGACAUCCACGGAAGAAUUCAGAGAUGGAUUUGUGCCUUCGGGAAC